UUUCCGUAGGUGAACCUGCGGAAGGAUCAUUGUCGAAAACUGCAAAAGCAGACCGCGAACUUGUUAAACUACUCGGGAUCGAGCUGCGGGGGAAGCCUCGCAUCGAGUCCCCAUCCCUUGUGCGUGCGCUUCUUGGGCUAACGAACCCCGGCGCGGCAUGCGCCAAGGAAUACUCAUAGGAGCGUCCUCUCUCAUCGCCCCGUUCUCGGCGUGCGAUGGGCGACGCCUCUCAAAGUCUAAACGACUCUCGGCAACGGAUAUCUCGGCUCUCGCAUCGAUGAAGAACGUAGCGAAAUGCGAUACUUGGUGUGAAUUGCAGAAUCCCGUGAACCAUCGAGUCUUUGAACGCAAGUUGCGGCCGAAGCCAUUUGGUUGAGGCCACGUCUGCCUGGGCGUCACGCAUCGCGUCGCAACCGGCCCAAAUCCACGGAUAUUGGCCCCCCGUUUGCGCAAGCGCGCGGUCGGCCUAAACACGAACCCGAGGCGGCUCGCGUCACGACAAGUGGUGGUUGAGCACUCAACUCUCGUUCUGUUGUGCCGAUUGUCGCACGUCGGGCGUCUUUGUGAACCCAAUGGCUCGAGCAACUCGAGCUUUCGACCGCGACCCCAGGUCAGGCGGGAUUACCCGCUGAGUUUAA
rnacentral:rRNA from 1 species